rnacentral:rRNA from 1 species
CCUACGGGUGGCAGCAGUGAGGAAUAUUGGUCAAUGGACGCAAGUCUGAACCAGCCAAGCAGCGUGCAGGAAGACGGCCCUAUGAGUUGUAAACUGCUUUUGUACGAGGGUAAACGCAGAUACGCGUAUCUUUCUGAACGUAUCUUACGAAUAAGGAUCGGCUAACUCCGUGCCAGCCGCCGCGGUAAUACGGAGGAUUCAAGCGUUAUCCGGAUUUAUUUGGUUUAAAGGGUGCGUAGACGGGCAGUUAGGUUAGAGGUGAAAACCCGAGGCUCAACUGCGGAAUUGCAUCUGAUACUGUUCGGCUAGAGAGUAGUUGCGGUAGGCGGAAUGUAUGGUGUAGCGGUGAAAUGCUUAGAGAUCAUACAGAACACCGAUUGCGAAGGCAGCUUACCAAGCUACGUCUGACGUUGAGGCACGAAAGCGUGGGGAGCAAACAGGAUUAGAUACCCCAGUAGUA